rnacentral:rRNA from 1 species
UACGGAGGGUGCAAGCGUUGCUCGGAAUCACUGGGCGUAAAGCGGGCUCAGGCGGUCUCGCAAGUCGGGUGUGAAAGCCCGGGGCUCAACCCCGGAAAUGCAUUCGAAACUGCGGGACUUGAGUACGGGAGAGGGGAGCGGAAUUCCUGGUGUAGAGGUGAAAUUCGUAGAUAUCAGGAGGAACACCGGUGGCGAAAGUGGCUCCCUGGUCCGAUACUGACGUUCAUGUCCGAAAGCGUGGGUAGCAAACAGG